rnacentral:rRNA from 1 species
AAUAGAUACCCGGGUAGUCCACGCCGUAAACGAUGAGUGCUAAGUGUUAGGGGGUUUCCGCCCCUUAGUGCUGCAGCUAACGCAUUAAGCACUCCGCCUGGGGAGUACGGUCGCAAGACUGAAACUCAAAGGAAUUGACGGGGGCCCGCACAAGCGGUGGAGCAUGUGGUUUAAUUCGAAGCAACGCGAAGAACCUUACCAGGUCUUGACAUCCCAUUGACCACUAUGGAGACAUAGUUUUCCCUUCGGGGACAACGGUGACAGGUGGUGCAUGGUUGUCGUCAGCUCGUGUCGUGAGAUGUUGGGUUAAGUCCCGCAACGAGCGCAACCCUUGUUCUUAGUUGCCAUCAUUUAGUUGGGCACUCUAAGGAGACUGCCGGUGACAAACCGGAGGAAGGUGGGGAUGACGUCAAAUCAUCAUGCCCCUUAUGACCUGGGCUACACACGUGCUACAAUGGACGGUACAAACGGUUGCCAACCCGCGAGGGGGAGCUAAUCCGAUAAAACCGUUCUCAGUUCGGAUUGUAGACUGCAACUCGCCUACAUGAAGACC